UGCGUAGGCGGCUUAUUAAGUCAACUGUUAAAUUUCUCAGCUUAACUGAGAGUGUGCGGUAGAAACUGGUAAGCUUGAGGAUGGAAGAGAGAAGUAGAAUUCUCGGAGUAGCGGUAAAAUGCGUAGAUCUCGAGAGGAACACCGAUGGCGAAGGCAGCUUCUUGGUCCAUUUCUGACGCUGAGGCACGAAAGCGUGGGAGCAAACA
rnacentral:rRNA from 1 species